GACGAACGCUGGCGGCGUGCUUAACACAUGCAAGUCGAGCGGUAAGGCCCUUUCGGGGGUACACGAGCGGCGAACGGGUGAGUAACACGUGGGUGACCUGCCCUCAGCUCUGGGAUAAGCCUGGGAAACUGGGUCUAAUACUGGAUAUGACUCCACGGUGCAUGUCGUGGGGUGGAAAGCCUUGUGCGGCUGAGGAUGGGGCCCGCGGCCUAUCAGCUUGUUGGUGGGGUGANGGCCUACCAAGGCGACGACGGGUAGCCGGCCUGAGAGGGCGACCGGCCACACUGGGACUGAGACACGGCCCAGACUCCUACGGGAGGCAGCAGUGGGGAAUCUUGCGCAAUGGGCGAAAGCCUGGCGCAGCGACGCCGCGUGAGGGAUGACGGCCU
rnacentral:rRNA from 1 species